rnacentral:rRNA from 1 species
UAGGGAAUCUUCCACAAUGGGCGAAAGCCUUGAUGGAGCAACGCCGCGUGUGUGAUGAAGGGUUUCGGCUCGUAAACACUGUUGUAAGAGAAGAAUGACAUUGAGAGUAACUGUUCAAUGUGUGACGGUAUCUUACCAGAAAGGAACGGCUAAAUACGUACCG